ACGCUCGACACCUACGGGAAGCAGCAGUGGGGAAUAUUGCACAAUGGGGGAAACCCUGAUGCAGCGACGCCGCGUGAGCGAAGAAGUAUUUCGGUAUGUAAAGCUCUAUCAGCAGGGAAGAUCAUGACGGUACCUGACUAAGAAGCUCCGGCUAAAUACGUGCCAGCAGCCGCGGUAAUCUGAGCGGGCUGGCAAGGC
rnacentral:rRNA from 1 species